UACGGAGGGUGCAAGCGUUAUCCGGAUUCACUGGGUUUAAAGGGUGCGUAGGUGGGUUGGUAAGUCAGUGGUGAAAUCUCCGGGCUUAACCCGGAAACUGCCAUUGAUACUAUUAGUCUUGAAUACCGUGGAGGUCAGCGGAAUAUGUCAUGUAGCGGUGAAAUGCUUAGAUAUGACAUAGAACACCAAUUGCGAAGGCAGCUGGCUACACGAGCAUUGACACUCAGGCACGAAAGCGUGGGGAUCAAACAGG
rnacentral:rRNA from 1 species